rnacentral:lncRNA from 1 species
AGAACACACAUGUUUGGACUUCAGCUUGGAUAGCCCAGAACCCCUUCCCCCAUUCUUUUGGUAAGAGAUUCUGCCUUCCUGGCUACUCUCAUUCUAUUUCCAUGCUCUUUCUUGGGAAAAAAAAAAAUGGUCCCAGGAGUAGGAACCCUUCCUCAUCCUCUACAGAAAUUUGAAACUGAAUCUGAGAAAUCCUCUUUUUUCUUGGUCAUGAGAUAUGAGUGAUAGGGAUCAGAUAGAAGUGCGCAGUGGGAACAUGGAGUUAAGGAAUGGUUCUAUAAACUGACUGACCCCCACACGCUUUCUUUUUCUUCUUCUUCUUCUUCUUUUUUAAAGCAAUUUACAUGUGGCCCUGCUUGGAUUAAAUGGAUUGGAUAUGUUGUGUUCCUCAGCAAACUACCCAUUUUCUUCAGGACAAAUGCAGGCCUGAAAUACCAAUAAGAAGAACACAGGUUAUCCUGAAGUGGGGGGACUUUUGUGACCCUUAUACAGACUGGAUCCCAGAACUCAGAGAGAUAAGGAUAAUUCCCCCUAAGCAUAAAAUAUGUAAGAACAGGUUUCAAUUAGAACUGUUCAUUAUGGGCCAAAAUAACCAAGAGUUGUCUUGUGCAAUGAGGCCUUGAAAGUCCGGUGUCAUUUUUCUGUCAGUCAAAAGUCAAGAGGUAAACCAGGGUGAGACUCUGGAAACUUCUUUGGGAUGUGCCAAUAAAGCUGGAGGGAAGAAGAGGUAUGCUAUCCUUCUCCUCUGAGAGGACCCACUCUUUCCCUUGAGAGUUUCCCCUUUCCCUGUUUCCUAUCACUUCUGGUAAACUCAUGCCCAUUGCUUGAAAUCUUUCUAGCCUGCUGGCAAGAGUCAGGGUGAAGAGGGGGGCUGCUAGGCUGCCUCAGCUCAGCAGCAUGGCUGGUGCUUGGUAACUUGAGAAUACAUGUCUGGCUCUGCUAGAGGCCAGGUCUGAGUCUCAUGCAAAGGCCCAUCUGAAGAAAAUGGAGCAACCCCACAGGGAGAAACAGAGGUAAGAAACCCAGGGUCCUGAUCAAGUCUUGGCUCUAGCUACUCCUGAGCCUGGCCUAGGGCUUGAACCAGUGCAUUCCCACAUUUCACUUAAGCUGGGGUUUUGUUUUUUAGUUUUUGUAUUUGUUUUUCAGUACUGGGGAUAGAACUGGGGUCCUUCUACAUGCUAGCAAAGCACUCUACUACUGAGCUACAUCCCCAGUCCUUACCUAUUUAUUCAUUAUUUUUGCAUUACUGGGGAUUGAACCUAGAGGGUCUCUACCACUGAACCACACCCCACACUCUUUCAAAAUUUUAUUUUGAGAUUGGGUCUCUCAAAGUUGUCCAGGCUUGCCUUGGGCAACUUACCAUCUUCCUGCCUCAUACUCCCUUAUACCAAUGUUACCGCUGUUGACCAGUGACGAGUCCUUGCUUCCCCAGUGUUGAAGAAUAACACCAAAGAAGCACUCCAAGGCAAGGUCAGAGUAGAAAUUAGAAGUUUAUUAAAGGACAGCAGAAAAGACUUGUCCCGGAGGAAGAAGGGGACCCAAGAGGUGGAAUCCGUGGAAGUGUG